GAUGAACGCUGGCGGCGUGCCUAAUACAUGCAAGUCGAGCGAACAGACGAGGAGCUUGCUCCUCUGACGUUAGCGGCGGACGGGUGAGUAACACGUGGAUAACCUACCUAUAAGACUGGGAUAACUUCGGGAAACCGGAGCUAAUACCGGAUAAUAUAUUGAACCGCAUGGUUCAAUAGUGAAAGACGGUUUUGCUGUCACUUAUAGAUGGAUCCGCGCCGCAUUAGCUAGUUGGUAAGGUAACGGCUUACCAAGGCAACGAUGCGUAGCCGACCUGAGAGGGUGAUUGGCCACACUGGAACUGAGACACGGUCCAGACACCUACGGGAGGCAGCAGUAGGGAAUCUUCCGCAAUGGGCGAAAGCCUGACGGAGCAACGCCGCGUGAGUGAUGAAGGUCUUCGGAUCGUAAAACUCUGUUAUUAGGGAAGAACAAAUGUGUAAGUAACUAUGCACGUCUUGACGGUACCUAAUCAGAAAGCCACGGCUAACUACGUG
rnacentral:rRNA from 1 species